rnacentral:tRNA from 1 species
GGGCGAGUGGCGGAAUUGGUAUACGCGCUAGUUUUAGGAACUAGUGGAGCAAUCCUUGGGAGUUCAAAUCUCCCCUCGCCCA